AAAUUCAAGCAAAUCAGAGCAAGAACAACCUUAAUCCAGCAGAAGUGAGGACCGAGUUAAUGAGAAAUGGACGGUCCUGAACAUGCUUCUAUCAAAUGCCCAAGAUGAAAGAUUAUUAAGCUCAGUUUUGCCCUGGCUUCUUGUCUCUCUGACCCUCUGUGCCCAGAGACCAGAAAAAAACUAUACAAAUCCAGCAACUUUGGUGUAUUCAACCAACCAUAGUCAACCAGGGCAGAAUCAGACAGAUUCCUAUAUUCCUAUAUCGCCUAUUUGCCAGGACUCAUGUUAAUUUGCCAGUCAAUGCAAGAAAGUCUCUGUCAUUGCUUUGUUUGUGGUCACUGUCCCCAG